rnacentral:lncRNA from 1 species
CAGAGUGCGGGGCGGGCAGGGCCCCCGAAGGAUGGCAUCGGUGACGGUAGGGGAGAGAAUGAAGACAGAGGCAGAGAGAAGGAGACAGAGGAUCCGAAGUGGGCUCCCCACGGACAGCAGAUAUUGGACCACAUGUCCAAUGUAGAACUUCGUUCUGAGAACGAUCAAAGCCACUGGUUGUCUCUCUCGUCUUGAAGCAAGCAGGAGGCCCGCUGCCUGGAGCCUGUCCACCUGGCAAGCGGCCUUUGGGAUCAGCCAAGGGAGCAAGUACUCCGAGCCCUGCAGACCGGCCGAGGCCCGUGGGGGGCACCCUGAAGGGGACCCUGUGGGGGAGGUGAGGACAGCUGGCUCCGUGCCCCAAAGCCCCAGCCCCGUGAGGAGAGCAAACUUCCCCAUCUGGGAAGCCCCUCUCCCCCGCACCCACUCCAACCUCACACACUGUAUCGGUCUCCGGCAGCUGCUGUAACACGGCAUCACAGACGCCAUGGCUGAACACAGACUUGUUACCUUAUGGCUCUGGAGGUCAGAAGUCCGAACUGGGUCGUACUGGGCUAACACCAAGCUGUCAGUAGGGCCCUGUUCCUUUCUGGAGGCUCUAGGGGAGAAUUCAUUUUCUCACCUUUUCCGGCUUUUAU